UUCAAUUUUUGACUCUUCGUUUUAUUCAAAUUUUUUUUACGAUUGAUAUUUUUAUUUUUAUUAAAUGAUAAAUCAUGAAUAGUAUUUUACGUGUGACUAAUUUUUUUCUAAUUUCCUGAAAAUUUUUUAAAUAAGACGGAUGGUCAAACGUUGGACACGAAAACC
rnacentral:pre_miRNA from 1 species